rnacentral:rRNA from 1 species
CCUACGGGAGACUGCAGUGGGGAAUUUUGGACAAUGGGCGCAAGCCUGAUCCAGCUAUUCCGCGUGUGGGAAGACGGCCUUCGGGUUGUAAACCACUGUCGUCGAGAACGAAAAGUCUGUUGAUAAUACCGAUAGAUGAUGACGGUACUCUAAGACUAAGCACCGGCUAACUACGUGCCAGCAGCCGCGGUAAUACGUAGGGUGCGAGCGUUAAUCGGAAUUACUGGGCGUAAAGGGUGUGCAGACGGUUUUGCAAGAUGGAUGUGAAAGCCCCGGGCUUAACCUGGGAAAGCCAUACAUGACUGCAAGACUAGAGUGCGUCAGAGGGGAGUGGAAUUCCAAGUGUAGCAGUGAAAUGCGUAGAUAUUUGGAAGAACACCGAUGGCGAAGGCAGCCCCCUGGGACGCAACUGACGCUCAUACACGAAAGCGUGGGGAGCAAACAGGAUUAGAUACCCUGGUAGUC